GGGAAUCCCGAAAAAAUGUCAGCCUCUACUGGAGAUAGGCACCAGCCCCCCAGUCUGACCAUCUCUGUUCUUCAUCUGUGUAUUUGUAUUUCUCCACCAGAGGGAACCACUGAAUUCCAUUUGUGGGGACAAGUGAUCGUUUCCUCAACCACUCAUUUUCCCAAGAUCCAACACUGCAUUUUUCCACUUAUGAACUUACAGGGUUAUUUAUGGAGCGGUCAGUGCUUUGGAUUAUGUGUCAGUUUUCCGCAAAGAUGAAGGCUAUUACUGAAAAGAGAAUGAAAGGCUACAUUUUAUUGAAUGACAUCAACGCUUCAAUCAGCCGCAAUCCUUGGGGGAAACAUCAGGAAGACAGGCAUUUUGGGCAAUCUGAAAACUGUUUAGCUUGAUUUGCUUCAACCUAGCCAUUUUUUACAUUGAUUUUUAUUGUUCUUUGUAACUGUUUUGAUGUGCAUGACUGCUGGCUUCAUGAGCUCUGCACUUAUUAGUUGGUGACAUUUUGUUUGUCUUGUUCAUUUAUCUUUUUAUAAACUGAACUUUUGAAACCAUUU